rnacentral:rRNA from 1 species
UGGGGAAUUUUGGACAAUGGGGGCAACCCUGAUCCAGCCAUUCCGCGUGAGUGAAGAAGGCCUUCGGGUUGUAAAGCUCUUUCGGCAGGAACGAAACGGUGGAGGCUAAUACCUUUCAUCAAUGACGGUACCUGAAGAAGAAGCACCGGCUAACUACGUGCCAGCAGCCGCGGUAAUACGUAGGGUGCGAGCGUUAAUCGGAAUUACUGGGCGUAAAGCGUGCGCAGGCGGCUCACUAAGACAGAUGUGAAAUCCCCGGGCUUAACCUGGGAACUGCGUUUGUGACUGGUGGGCUGGAGUGUGGCAGAGGGGGGUGGAAUUCCACGUGUAGCAGUGAAAUGCGUAGAGAUGUGGAGGAACACCGAUGGCGAAGGCAGCCCCCUGGGUUGACACUGACGCU